rnacentral:tRNA from 1 species
AAACAGUCCCUGUGGCGCAGAGGAUAGCGCUUUGGACUUCUAAUCCAAAGGUCGUGGGUUCGUUCCCCACCAGGGAUGCGCAUCUCUUUU